AAGGGCUUUUGCCACCUGUCAAUCACAAUAGUCGGGUUCGAUUCCCCGUCGGGACGAGUUUAUCACCACUUCUUUGAAAGAUACAAUGGCACUCAAAACAAGCAGUGCUUUUGAGCUACUCGCCUUAUUUUCAAGUUCUUAACAGCAUCCCGGGACCUAUACACAGCUUCUCCUGUAUAUCUGUGUUCCAACUAUCUGCCAUCAAGAUAGUAUUCAAUAUCGCUAGUUGUAAACAUUCGGAAAACGCUUUUGGUUUAGUGUUAGCUAAACUAGCACUUGGCGUUAGCUACAGUUAGCCAACAGGCGCUGUGUAGACCCCGUUUCCAGGGACAACCGCGACGGAGGAGCAGCACCAACAGCAAAAGGACAAGAGAUCACAUUGCCGACAAAAUUCGAGUAAUAUCACGCAACCUACAUCCCGUAAAAUGUAUCAAACGAGGAAGGAGACCAACUUUUCCCAGGGAAGAUAAGGAUGUCUCUCAGGAAGGGUCCAUCUGGCCACCUGCGACAGGACCCUUCAGAGGAGGGAAUGAGAAUCAAAAAAAAUCCUUCCCUUCAGGACAAGUCUGCCCCUCAGAAGCAUGUGAGGACAAAUGCUCUCACUGAGGUCCUUCAGAGGGGAGGGCAAGGGUCCGCCCGACUCGAGGUGAUGGGGGAAUAUUUAUUACAGUUUCAUUCCAUGUGAAUGAUGUCGGCUACACCAGUAACCUGAUGGAAAAGGUGGAAGAGGAGGAGAGAGGUGGGACCUUCAACCAUCAAAGGCCACGCAAGACGCUGUCCUCGAUGAAGAUCUGCCUUGUCCAGCGCCUCCUGUCCCUCUGGUCGCAGCACACCAGCCUGCAGCCUCUGUCCCGGGCUAUAGUCAGGAUGUUGCCCACUGGAACUGCUCGCACCAGCAGAACAUUUGGAUGAAGACUGAGUUGGAAACAUU